rnacentral:rRNA from 1 species
GACGAACGCUGGCGGCGUGCUUAACACAUGCAAGUCGAACGGAAAGGCCCUGCUUUUGUGGGGUGCUCGAGUGGCGAACGGGUGAGUAACACGUGAGUAACCUGCCCUUGACUUUGGGAGAACUUCAGGAAACUGGGGCUAAUACCGGAUAGGAGCUCCUGCUGCAUGGGGGGGGUUGGAAAGUUUCGGCGGUUGGGGAUGGACUCGCGGCUUAUCAGCUUGUUGGUGGGGUAGUGGCUUACCAAGGCUUUGACGGGUAGCCGGCCUGAGAGGGUGACCGGCCACAUUGGGACUGAGAUACGGCCCAGACUCCUACGGGAGGCAGUAGUGGGGAAUCUUGCACAAUGGGCGGAAGCCUGAUGCAGCAACGCCGCGUGCGGGAUGACGGCCUUCGGGUUGUAAACCGCUUUCGCCUGUGACGAAGCGUGAGUGACGGUAAUGAGUAAAGAAGCACCGGCUAACUACGUG